UUUAUGGAGAGUUUGAUCCUGGCUCAGGAUGAACGCUGGCGGCGUGCCUAAUACAUGCAAGUCGAGCGAACGGACGAGAAGCUUGCUUUUCUGAUGUUAGCGGCGGACGGGUGAGUAACACGUGGAUAACCUACCUAUAAGACUGGGAUAACUUCGGGAAACCGGAGCUAAUACCGGAUAAUAUUUUGAACCGCAUGGUUCAAAAGUGAAAGACGGUCUUGCUGUCACUUAUAGAUGGAUCCGCGCUGCAUUAGCUAGUUGGUAAGGUAACGGCUUACCAAGGCAACGAUGCAUAGCCGACCUGAGAGGGUGAUCGGCCACACUGGAACUGAGACACGGUCCAGACUCCUACGGGAGGCAGCAGUAGGGAAUCUUCCGCAAUGGGCGAAAGCCUGACGGAGCAACGCCGCGUGAGUGAUGAAGGUCUUCGGAUCGUAAAACUCUGUUAUUAGGGAAUAACAUAUGUGUAAGUAACUGUGCACAUCUUGACGGUACCUAAUCAGAAAGCCACGGCUAACUACGUGCCAGCAGCCGCGGUAAUACGUAGGUGGCAAGCGUUAUCCGGAAUUAUUGGGCGUAAAGCGCGCGUAGGCGGUUUUUUAAGUCUGAUGUGAAAGCCCACGGCUCAACCGUGGAGGGUCAUUGGAAACUGGAAAACUUGAGUGCAGAAGAGGAAAGUGGAAUUCCAUGUGUAGCGGUGAAAUGCGCAGAGAUAUGGAGGAACACCAGUGGCGAAGGCGACUUUCUGGUCUGUAACUGACGCUGAUGUGCGAAAGCGUGGGGAUCAAACAGGAUUAGAUACCCUGGUAGUCCACGCCGUAAACGAUGAGUGCUAAGUGUUAGGGGGUUUCCGCCCCUUAGUGCUGCAGCUAACGCAUUAAGCACUCCGCCUGGGGAGUACGACCGCAAGGUUGAAACUCAAAGGAAUUGACGGGGACCCGCACAAGCGGUGGAGCAUGUGGUUUAAUUCGAAGCAACGCGAAGAACCUUACCAAAUCUUGACAUCCUUUGACAACUCUAGAGAUAGAGCCUUCCCCUUCGGGGGACAAAGUGACAGGUGGUGCAUGGUUGUCGUCAGCUCGUGUCGUGAGAUGUUGGGUUAAGUCCCGCAACGAGCGCAACCCUUAAGCUUAGUUGCCAUCAUUAAGUUGGGCACUCUAAGUUGACUGCCGGUGACAAACCGGAGGAAGGUGGGGAUGACGUCAAAUCAUCAUGCCCCUUAUGAUUUGGGCUACACACGUGCUACAAUGGACAAUACAAAGGGCAGCGAAACCGCGAGGUCAAGCAAAUCCCAUAAAGUUGUUCUCAGUUCGGAUUGUAGUCUGCAACUCGACUACAUGAAGCUGGAAUCGCUAGUAAUCGUAGAUCAGCAUGCUACGGUGAAUACGUUCCCGGGUCUUGUACACACCGCCCGUCACACCACGAGAGUUUGUAACACCCGAAGCCGGUGGAGUAACCUUUUAGGAGCUAGCCGUCGAAGGUGGGACAAAUGAUUGGGGUGAAGUCGUAACAAGGUAGCCGUAUCGGAAGGUGCGGCUGGAUCACCUCCUUUCU
rnacentral:rRNA from 1 species